rnacentral:rRNA from 1 species
GUAGGUGGCAAGCGUUGUCCGGAAUUAUUGGGCGUAAAGCGCGCGCAGGUGGUUCCUUAAGUCUGAUGUGAAAGACCCCCGGGCUCAACCGGGGAGGGUCAUUGGAAACUGGGGAACUUGAGUGCAGGAGAGGAAAGUGGAAUUCCACGUGUAGCGGUGAAAUGCGUAGAUAUGUGGAGGAACACCAGUGGCGAAGGCGACUUUCUGGCCUGUAACUGACACUGAGGCGCGAAAGCGUGGGGAGCAAACAGGAUUAGAUACCCUGGUAGUCCACGCCGUAAACGAUGAGUGCUAAGUGUUGGGGGGUUUCCGCCCCUCAGUGCUGCAGCUAACGCAUUAAGCACUCCGCCUGGGGAGUACGGUCGCAAAGACUG